rnacentral:tRNA from 1 species
CGGAGCGUAGCGCAGCCUGGUAGCGCACUUGUCUGGGGGACAAGGGGUCGUGGGUUCGAAUCCCGCCGCUCCGA